AGAGUUUGAUCCUGGCUCAGGAUGAACGCUGGCGGCGUGCCUAACACAUGCAAGUCGAACGAAGCUUGACGGAUGAUUUCUUCGGAAUGAAACCUGAUAUGACUUAGUGGCGGACGGGUGAGUAACACGUGAGCAACCUGCCUUUCAGAGGGGGAUAACGGCUGGAAACGGUCGCUAAUACCGCAUGACGUGUUCGGAUGGCAUCAUCUGAACAUCAAAGAUUUAUCGCUGAAAGAUGGGCUCGCGUCUGAUUAGAUAGUUGGUGGGGUAACGGCCUACCAAGUCUACGAUCAGUAGCCGGACUGAGAGGUUGAACGGCCACAUUGGGACUGAGAUACGGCCCAGACUCCUACGGGAGGCAGCAGUGGGGAAUAUUGCACAAUGGGGGAAACCCUGAUGCAGCAACGCCGCGUGAAGGAUGACGGUUUUCGGAUUGUAAACUUCUUUUCUUAGUGACGAAGACAGUGACGGUAGCUAAGGAAUAAGCAUCGGCUAACUACGUGCCAGCAGCCGCGGUAAUACGUAGGAUGCAAGCGUUAUCCGGAUUUACUGGGUGUAAAGGGAGCGCAGGCGGGACUGCAAGUUGGAUGUGAAAUACCGUGGCUUAACCACGGAACUGCAUCCAAAACUGUAGUUCUUGAGUGAAGUAGAGGCAAGCGGAAUUCCGAGUGUAGCGGUGAAAUGCGUAGAUAUUCGGAGGAACACCAGUGGCGAAGGCGGCUUGCUGGGCUUUAACUGACGCUGAGGCUCGAAAGUGUGGGGAGCAAACAGGAUUAGAUACCCUGGUAGUCCACACUGUAAACGAUGAUAGCUAGGUGUGGGGGGUCUGACCCCUUCCGUGCCGGAGUUAACGCAAUAAGCUAUCCACCUGGGGAGUACGACCGCAAGGUUGAAACUCAAAGGAAUUGACGGGGGCCCGCACAA
rnacentral:rRNA from 1 species